rnacentral:rRNA from 1 species
AUUGAACGCUGGCGGCAUGCCUUACACAUGCAAGUCGAACGGCAGCACGGGAGCAAUCCUGGUGGCGAGUGGCGAACGGGUGAGUAAUAUAUCGGAACGUGCCCAGUAGUGGGGGAUAACCCGGCGAAAGCCGGACUAAUACCGCAUACGACCUACGGGUGAAAGCAGGGGAUCGCAAGACCUUGCGCUAUCGGAGCGGCCGAUAUCAGAUUAGCUUGUUGGUGGGGUAAAAGACCUACCAAGGCGACGAUCUGUAGCUGGUCUGAGAGGACGACCAGCCACACUGGGACUGAGACACGGCCCAGAUUCCUACGGGAGGCAGCAGUGGGGAAUUUUGGACAAUGGGCGCAAGCCUGAUCCAGCCAUGCCGCGUGCGGGAAGAAGGCCUCGG